rnacentral:rRNA from 1 species
CGAACGCUGGCGGCGCGUUUUAAGCAUGCAAGUCGAACGGUAGUAGAGUGCUUGCACUCUAUGAGAGUGGCGAACGGGUGAGUAACACGUAGGUGAUCUAUCUUUGGGGUUCGGGAUAGCCUGUGGAAACACAGGGUAAUACCGGAUACGACCUUUAGAUUGCGGUCUAGAGGGGAAAGGCGCUUAGGCGCCGCCCUAAGCUGAGCCUGCGGCUGAUUAGCUAGUUGGUAGGGUAACGGCCUACCAAGGCGACGAUGAGUAGCCGGCCUGAGAGGGUGAUCGGCCACACUGGGACUGAGACACGGCCCAGACUCCUACGGGAGGCAGCAGCUAAGAAUCUUCCGCAAUGGGGGAAACCCUGACGGAGCGACGCCGCGUGGACGAAGAAUGCCGGAAGGUUGUAAAGUCCUUUUCCUGGGGGAGAAUAAUGCUUGGAGGUAAUGCCAAGCAGAUGACGUGAACCAGGGAAUAAGCCCCGGCUAAUUAC